GUUGGUGGGAUAAAGGACCAAGAGAAAUGUAGUCAGCUGCUUUUUAACUUUUAUCAAAUUAGGCAACUAUAUAUUAGAAGAAAUAGCUGAAAUUAUUUCACUUACAGUUUUACUCAAUUUACUCAUCUUCUGUGCAUUCACAUUAUAUUAAAACAUAUCUUUACCAACCUAUUUGUGGAUUUUACACUCACACCUUAGAGUGAAAAGGGCAGGGAUGGUCAUUUGAGACUUUCACAAUAUGGGUAUCUUCUUGAGUUCCCUCUAAAAUUAAAGAAUAAGAACAGAUCACUCAACGCACUUAAACAGCGUUAAAUAUUUAAGUGGCAGUUGAAUUUAUUUUCAUAAUUGUUUAUUAACUUUUGUAUAAUCUUCAUUACUUUUUGAGAGAAAAAAAUGUAUUUAUCAAAUAUGUGUAAUCAUUAUCAUGCCAAAAUCUGAAUGCUGUAAAAUUUUUGUAUAUUGUUAAAAUUGUAAUUCUAAAAAAAAAAUUGUAAUUCUAAAUUGUAUUUUUUAAAUAAUUCUUUCUGAUGUUGUUUUUAUGUCACCCAUGAUGAAAACUGGACUUUGAUAUCUAUACAUAUGAACUAUUCCACUGAAAAAUUUUUAAUAGUCUUUUUUCUUUUUUGGUGCCUAUAAUUGGUCAUUUCUGCUGGCCUUUCUCCAAUGAACUCUGAAAUCUUUCUAUAUGUGCUAUCAAUAAGAGAAGUACCCUGGAACAUUAGAAAAAUCCAGCAAGAGACUUGCUUUCAUCAAGCCCUUUACCAGACUUUGAGCAAAGGUACUGAAGGCAUUGAAAAAAGUCAUUGACUUUCAAGAUCAUCUCUUCUUUUUCUCAAGAAGAAAGCAAUGGAAAAAUAAAUUAUCUUCAUUCAAUGAACCCCCAAUUUGGGGCUUGGGGGAGCUUAGAGACAUUGUGAAAUCAAAUCUUGUGUUAUUUUUCACCUGGCUCGCUCUUUUUGAGAAGGUUAAUGGGCUAUUUGGCUGGUGAGACACGAUCCCCUCCUAAGAAAAUGUAGGUGCUCAGACAGGUAACCUCUGCUGCUACUGUUUUUAUUUGUUUGUUUGUUUAAUUUUAUUUAAAUUUUGUUUUAUUGUACUAGGAUUUUUUAAAAUGUAAUAUAUUGCAGGAUUUAUAACCAGGUUCACUGCUUUCUUUUUUCUUUCUUAAAAAAAGUUUCAUUUAACAUACAAUUUAGGCACCUUUGAAGCUUGGAUUUUGGAAUGUUUCAGUAGUGGACAGAAAUCUGCUGUUGGAAUCUUCUAGUCUUUCAGGUUUAAUUUGAAAUGUUUUUAGUUUUGUUUUGGAUUUUUGUGUGCUAUUUUAUUUCCUUUAUACCAGUACCAUUUUGCCAUGCUGUUUUGGGGUGGCUGCCUAACUCUAGUGAAAAAUUUUUCUAUAUUAAUGAAAAUUUGGCUUUUAAAAUUCCUUAAUGUUUUACAUUUAAAAAAUAUUUUUAAAGAAAUAUUCUAACUGUUUGCACUGUUACUGUUCUUUGCCAGCCUUUUCAGGAGCCAAAAAAAACCAAAUACAAACAAACAAAAAUAUACCCAGAGAAAAAACUUUCCUUCUUCCCCCUUCCUGAUGAUGAGUGAGAAGUAUUGAGAACUUUCGGGGUCAGUGCCCUUCUAAACUCCCCUUCCCCCAAUAAUGCAGCUGUGUAAUGAAUGCUAAAUGCAGCGGUUUGGAUUCAGUCACAGCCCCAGCCGGCUGGCAGGUAAUUUGACUCUCCUUUCUUUCCACCACAAGGCUAACUUUACUUUCUUUUAUAAAAAAUUUCCUUUCUUUGUGCACUUUAAAGGCAACCACGAGUUUGUCAUAACUCACUUGUUAAAAAACGCAUUAACAUGUCAAAUAAUUUGAUUGAAGAAGAGCUUUUGGGGAUAAAGUUUGAGUUGAUUGGGAUGAACUCAGGACUUCUGUGGGAAUUUUGUUUAGGCAUUUCGAUAACUCCACUCUUUGCAUAUAUGUCUAUAAUGAAAUAAUUCAGAGUGUGACUUUUUUGGCUUUGUUUUUGUUUUGGGUUUGUUUGUUUCUUCCAUUGUGCUACUCUGGCUUAAGCUUUUUCAGGGGUUGGUGUUCCGAAUACAAAGUGAGCUCACAGUAUAAAGACAUCAAUUAGGAGUUGACAGGUAUGGAAAACUAGUUUUGAAAAGGUAAAAGUAAGCUCUAGGUUCUAUGUAUGGAAAAACCCCACCAUAGCACUCAGUUGGCCUUAGUGCUUCUCCUUUUGUAACAUGGUUAUGAAAGCGAAAGGUAGCAGUGACAUGUAGAUUAAAUUAGGAGCAGUAUGACAGCAGAACCAAUCAUUUCAGCGUUUCUGAGACACUGUGUCAAAAAAAACAUGAACACUUUGAGGUUAUCAUACAAUUGUGGCUUAAACACUCCGAAAUUACAGUUUGAAGCAGAUAGGGAAGUAUUUCUGAAGCACAAUGUGGUUGAACAGACUAACCAAGAGCAUGCCAAUAGUUAGGGGCAGGAACAGGAAUACAGCUUGCUCAUUUUGAUAGCCUUCUGUCCCAGUCCACUUGCCCUUUUCUGCUUUCUGCUGCCCUCAACCAUCACAGGUAAAGCUCCUAUAUCAUUUUGGGCAAUAAUCCUCUUUCUAGUAGAUAAGAUUUCAUUGAAAGUAGCCAGGUCCCUUUCCAGCAUGUGCUUCUGCAUAAUUUUAUCCUGUGACUUUAAAUGUCCUAUCCAAAGUGGCUCGACAUCACUAGAUGACUAGUGACUAGGAAAUCCUGGCCAUAGGUGCUCUUUUUGCAGUGGAGGAGGGCAUGUAAUAGGUCAUUAGCCCGUUCUGUGCGUCAGUUGACUCAUAAAAGAUAGGGACAGUCUCCUGAACACCUUUAGUCACAAGUAAUUCUCUGUUGAACUGAAAUAUACCACUAAAGGGAUCCCAGCUAAACUCCUGCAAGAAUUGCUGGUGUAUACUCAAGCUUGCCUAGGAGACCUUCGUGCCCUCCUAAUAGAAUGGCCACCAUUAGUGUGUGUAGCACAUGUGACCGCCCAGGGCGCGGGGGUUCUAACAACCUCCAUUCUGCCCACACUGAAAUACUGCUGGUUUGCAAAGAAUCAUCUCACUUUUACAUUUUACCGUAUUCACAUUUACUAGGUGAACCUUAUUUAUGUAGUAUGUGUACCUGGCUGCUACUGUGGGGUUUGGGAACGUGAGGGGUGGGGUGAACUGUUGUUGUUUUGGGUUUCAGUCAGACAGACUUCCCUGUGCCCCAGUUCCCAGAAGCACAGCAGGCCUGUAGGAGCACCUGUGGGAACGGCGCAGUCCUGACAUCACCACCUUCUCCUGCUCAGGCGCAUCCCAUACACAGAGGUCAAAAGGGUGGGGUUUGAGAUUGGGGAAGGAAUGAGAAAGUAGAAACAAUAUUGCAGUGCCACUGUUGACUAGCCUUUGGUGUUUAUCUCAGUGUUUGUUUUAUUUCUUGAUAUUUUUUAAAGUUGGCGAAAUUACGCAUUUAUUUUGGGGUGAAGGUAGUGGGAGGGUGGAACAAAAACAGGUCAUGACUGUUCUCAUUAGCUCAUUACUAGAUAUACUAUUCCUUACUAGCUAAUGUACAAUAAAAUUUGAAAUGUGAACUCCAGUGACAAAAAAGAAUGGGAAUAUAAAUAAAUGAAUCUUAGAUUUUAACAAGCAGAGAACACUUAAUGCUGUGCUAAUGCCCAGUUCUCCUACAACUGCUACAAUAUUUGUCAUUCUGUCUUUUGUUCCCCUGAUUUUUCUAUGUAUGUAUAUACAGUCUGAGGAAAUAUGCUUUAAUGAUUAGCCCUUUUUAAAGGACUUAAUGAAUUUAUUUUCUUGCAAAGAAAAAAAUCUAGUGCUUAUGUGGGCAUACAAAUGCUACCCUAUUUUAAAUAUAGGUGGCGUAUGUGUUCGUGCUUUAAUGUAUUCAGAGCCAUUGGGCAAUAAGCAGUCCAGAACAUUGAAAACUCAAACAGGUAAAGCACCUAACACCCCUAGUUUCUAGAAUUACUUUUAAAAAUUCUUUUAUAAUGAUACGUCUUCCACAGAUUUUUUUUGGUGAUCUCUGAAUUUUAAUUUUGCAGUUGUAAACUGGGUAGACAGAAUUAUAGAUUGUGUAUGUAUUGAUAGAUGGUAGGGGUAGGUAAAGAGAACGGGGAUGGCUUAUUGAGAUGGCAGCUACUUAGUGUCUAAAUCUUUCUACUUCCUUCCUUUUUAAAAUUUUCCCAGUUUAGCAUGAGCAAUGAUCAUACAUUGUGCGAUUUUUUUUUUUUUCCUGUAAUUGGGACUUCUGUUUCUGAUUUUUUUGGGGGAAUAUCUGGAGCAGACAUGGAAAAUUUGGUGCAAAUGUGAAAAUAUGAAAUUUUUUCUGUUAAAUGUGAGCAGUAAGCAAGAACUUUUUCUAUAUACCCUUCUGCUGCAGCAGAGAAAUAAACUGGUAGGUGGCAGCAGAGGAAGGAGGAAUUCUUCAGAUUGAUGGCUACUGACAAUACCAAGUGAAGCAAGGGGGACAAAGAAGUGGAAAAAUAAGACUGAAAAUUACUGGAUUUUGACUUUAAGUGGUUUUCUUGAAGUAACCAGUGAUCCUUGCUUACCUCAGUGACAGAAUGGAUGAAGAUGGGUCUGACUCUGUUUUCUCAAGUGGAAAAUAGAAAUAUACAACAAGAAAGCAGUCGCUUUAACCUCUUUCUAAAAUAAAAACGCCAUGAACUGGCAGUGAAAUAGCAUGGAGCAUGACUUGUCCUUUUGGCAGCUGUUUGUACCCACUCUGUCCUGUAUGAAUUUUCUGAGGUCUGGAUAUCUAGACUUGGUGUCUAGCUCCAUGUGUCUUUUUUCUUUUUUCCUUUUCCACUCCUCACCUUUUGCAGGUUGGAACUCUUGGUUCCUUUGGUUCUUGCUCUCUGCCUGAUCUCUCUGUAAUAUCUUCAGGAAGGAUUGAUCCUUUGGCACAUGAGCAGGCACUAAAAUAUGUACUAGAUGGAGUUCUCUCUGUCCUUUCACACUUUGUGCUGAAUAACUAUUGUUGUAUUUUUUAAUCUCAAGAAUACUUCUGACAAGGCAUGUACUUUUUCUACUUUCUGUACUACAUUCUAUAGUCGGAUAUUCAUACUGUAGUCCUGUCACUUAAUGGUUACAUGGUCCUUGGAAAAGUCACUCUUCAAAACAGAUUAUUUGUUAAAAAAUGAAAAUGAAAUAACUGUACCUAGCUUUAUUAGCCUCAUGUACUAUAAUAUAUGUAUAGUGCUUAGCACAUAGUUGAGUAUUUAAUAAAUAUUGUCCAUUCUGUAAACAUUGGUUAUUGAAACCUUAUUCAAAGGUAGUGAAUCUUUAAAUUUUUUAACCCUAAGUCUAUUAAGCUUUUCUUUCUUGGUUGUCUUUCAGAUUUUCUAUUUAAACUUCUUUCACAAGCUCUUCAUGUUGGAUGGAACAUUGUAUAUGU
ensembl:lncRNA